CCUCUUAAACCCUUAGAGAUCAACUCACUUCCAUCUCCUAACCCUAGUCCUUCUCUCUCUAGCGAACCCUAGCCGCCCUAAAAUCCACACUGGUGGUCACCACCCCAAGCACCCCCAAAUCUUUAUCCUACACUCCCCAUUCCUCCUAAUAUGUAAUCCCCUAUCAAUUUCUCUAGAAACCUCCCCAAAAUCCAUAAUUUCCAGAUCCAAGAACCCCAAAAAACCUAGUUCCACCUUUUUCAAUUCUUGAAGUUUUGAGAACACAAUUCGAGUUGAAACUCACAUUAAUUGUUUGUUCUCAACCAGAACAAUCGAUUGACGUUACUUUCGGCUCAUUUCAAAAGUAUUCGGACUUAGUGGUUGACUAAACGUUUGGCACAAGGCCUUCUUGUUAUGUUUUAGGUUUGUGGUUUGUGGUUUAAGAAGUAACACGCCAAAAGUGUUGGUGACGAAUUUAGAAAUCUGACCAGUGCUUGGCCUGAUUUUUUAAAGUUCCACCACUUGAAAGUGGUCAUUUGUGUAAUAGUUUAAUUCUAGUUUAGUAUAGUUCCUAGUACAGAAAUGUAAUAAUCUGGUUCAUCAUUAGUGAAUGUAGUUGUGUCGAGUCAGUAGAUUGAUAGUUAUUUCAAACCAUGGAACGCUGUUGUAUAGCAAUUCAGUAUGAGUUUAGUGUUUAUAUCUGUUGAAAUGCUUAACUGUGGUAGUGAAGUAUAGAUAUAAUUCUUCCUGGCA